rnacentral:rRNA from 1 species
AAUGAUGGCCAGGCUGUCUCCACCCGAGACUCAGUGAAAUUGAACUCGCUGUGAAGAUGCAGUGUACCCGCGGCAAGACGGAAAGACCCCGUGAACCUUUACUAUAGCUUGACACUGAACAUUGAGCCUUGAUGUGUAGGAUAGGUGGGAGGCUUUGAAGCGUGGACGCCAGUCUGCGUGGAGCCAACCUUGAAAUACCACCCUUUAAUGUUUGAUGUUCUAACGUGGACCCGUAAUCCGGGUUGCGGACAGUGUCUGGUGGGUAGUUUGACUGGGGCGGUCUCCUCCUAAAGAGUAACGGAGGAGCACGAAGGUUGGCUAAUCCUGGUCGGACAUCAGGAGGUUAGUGCAAUGGCAUAAGCCAGCUUGACUGCGAGCGUGACGGCGCGAGCAGGUGCGAAAGCAGGUCAUAGUGAUCCGGUGGUUCUGAAUGGAAGGGCCAUCGCUCAACGGAUAAAAGGUACUCCGGGGAUAACAGGCUGAUACCGCCCAAGAGUUCAUAUCGACGGCGGUGUUUGGCACCUCGAUGUCGGCUCAUCACAUCCUGGGGCUGAAGUAGGUCCCAAGGGUAUGGCUGUUCGCCAUUUAAAGUGGUACGCGAGCUGGGUUUAGAACGUCGUGAGACAGUUCGGUCCCUAUCUGCCGUGGGCGCUGGAGAACUGAGGGGGGCUGCUCCUAGUACGAGAGGACCGGAGUGGACGCAUCACUGGUGUUCGGGUUGUCAUGCCAAUGGCACUGCCCGGUAGCUAAAUGCGGAAGAGAUAAGUGCUGAAAGCAUCUAAGCACGAAACUUGCCCCGA